rnacentral:lncRNA from 1 species
AAUACAAAAUUUCAUGUAAAAUAACCAACGACACCCAUAUUGACUACUUUUGGUUCAGGGUCAUAACGGACCCAUGAAAUGGAUUUUUGAAAAAGAAGUGCAAAAUCAGAUAUUUACUUCAAAAAUAUGUUCUCUAUAUUUUUAGAAACCUACAUCUAAAAACCCUAUUUAAAAAGAGUCAAAAAUGAGGUUCAGAUUGAAGAAAAAUCAUUUUUGAGUUUUACCAAGUAAAAUCUUUGAAAUCUG